GAGGAAAAGAAACUAACAAGGAUUCCCCUAGUAACGGCGAGUGAAGCGGGAACAGCUCAACUUUUAAAAUCUGGCCCUUUCAGGGUCCGAGUUGUAGUCUCGAGAAGCCACGUCCGUGCCGGACCUUGGACAAGUCGGUUGGAAUACCGCGCCAACGAGGGUGACAGCCCCUUUAUUGCCAAGGACGCCCGUGCGCAGUGUGAUGGGCUUUCAAAGAGUCGAGUUGUUUGGGAAUGCAGCUCUAAUCGGGUGGUAAAUUCCAUCUAAAGCUAAAUAUUGGCGAGAGACCGAUAGCGAACAAGUACCGUGAGGGAAAGAUGAAAAGCACUUUGGAAAGAGAAUGAAACAGUAUGUGAAAUUGCUGGAAGGGAAACGAUUGAGGUUAGACUUGCUGGCGCGGUACUCAGCCCUUUGAUGGGUGUAUUUGCCGCGCAUUUGGCAGGCCAGCAUCGGUUUGUUGUGUCGGGUAAAAGGGUGCAGGGAACGUAGCAACCUCGUCGUUGUGUUAUAGACCUGCACUGGAUGCCCGAUCGCAGACCGAGGUCAGCAGGGCGCCGCAAGGCAAUGCUCUCGUGGCAUCGAGCCCUUUGGAUGCUGGUAGAAUAGCCUUAACCGACCCGUCUUGAAACACG
rnacentral:rRNA from 1 species